AUGAGAGUGAUUGCAUAUGGUGUUCCCGCUGACUACGCAGAUGAAUAUCUUUGCAUUGGAGAAGAUGCUACCAUCAAAUGCGCCCGGUUCUUUGCGAAGACAAUGAUCCGUGUUUUCGGCCUGGAGUACCUUCGAGCUCCAAAUGAGGAAGACACAUAGAAUCUCAUGGCAAUGAACGAAGAAAGGGGAUGGCCGGGCAUGCUAGGUAGUAUUGAUUGGAGGUAG
rnacentral:rRNA from 1 species